AGAGUUUGAUCAUGGCUCAGGAUUAACGCUGGCGGCGUGCCUAACACAUGCAAGUCGAACGCCCUCUGGCAACAGAGGGAGUGGCGGACGGGUGAGUAACACGUGGGAACCUACCCCGAAGUGAGGAAUACCGGCGAGAAAUCGCCGACAAUACCGCAUAGGCUUCUCGCAAGAGAAGCAAAGCUCGCAAGGGCGCUUUGGGAAGGGCCUGCGUCCGAUUAGCUAGUUGGUAAGGUAAGAGCUUACCAAGGCUGCGAUCGGUAGCUGGUCUGAGAGGACGAGCAGCCACACUGGGAUUGAGAACGGCCCAGACUCCUACGGGGGGCAGCAGUGAGGAAUUUUCGGCAAUGGGGGAAACCCUGACCGAGCAACGCCGCGUGCAGGAAGAAGGUUUUCGGAUCGUAAACUGCUUUACUGAGGGACGAGAACGGACGGUACCUCAGCAAUCAGCCCCGGCUAACUACGUGCCAGCAGCCGCGGUAAUACGUAGGGGGCGAGCGUUGUCCGGAGUUACUGGGCGUAAAGGGCCUGUAGGCGGUCUUUCGCGUUUGCAGUGACAGUGCUCGGCUUAACCGAGCAAGGCCUGCGAAGACGGGAAGACUUGAGGGCUUCAGAGGGACACGGAAUUCCGGGUGGAGUGGCGAAAUGCGUAGAGAUCCGGAGGAACACCNAGGCGAAGGCAGUGUCCUGGGGAGUCGCUGACGCUGAGGGGCGAAAGCUAGGGGAGCCAACGGGAUUAGAUACCCUAGUAGUCC
rnacentral:rRNA from 1 species